AGUGGAAAAUUUUGUUUUAAUUUUUGGUUUUUAACUCUGGAAAUUCUGGUAAGUUUAAAUUUUGUUAAAUUCUAUCACAUUUAUUUUUGUUUUUGUUAAAGAGAAUCCCCACUUUUGCUCCCACGUUCCCACUCCAUUCACGUCAGUUUUAUUUUAUUUGUUUUCCCCAAAUUCAGAUUUUAGUUUUUCUUUUCGCUACUGUAUGUUUUUUUUGGGGGGUCAUUUCUUUCUCUUUUUCUUUUCACUUUGUCUUUUUGGGGUCUUUGGUUCUUCUUUUCGUUCCGCUGUUGACAUAUCAUCCGUUCCUUUACAAUUAUCGUUCAUCAAGGUUUUAUCAGUGUGGUUGGGAUAUGAAUGUGAAGAGAAGGAUGUUGGAUUUGGCAGUUAAAUUGUAUUAUUAUUAUAUUUUAGCAGUAAAACCGUAUUUAUGUUAGCAGUUUGACUGCAUAAUAAUAUCGAGACAAUGAACUUUUCGUGGUGUGAAUUGGAUGGAUAGGUCUACCAUUACUCAAUGUGGUGUGUAGAGGUCGGAAAAGGUUUAGUAUAGGUCUACCAUUACUCAAUGUGGUGUGUAGAGGUCGGAAAAGGUUUAGUAUACCCUUAUUAGUGUGUGUGCAGAAUAUAAAAAGAUGGUGAGUAAAGGCUAGUUAGGUGGGGUUUUGGGCCAUUUUGCGCAUGACUAAAAUUUGUAUGUUUGAUACAGUUAAGGCAUUUUUGGUGCUCUCCUCUGACAUGAUAUUCGAUGUGACUAUAAAAUAAUAA